CCUACGGGGGGCUGCAGUGGGGAAUAUGGGACAAUGGGGGGAACCCUGAUCCAGCGACGCCGCGUGAGUGAAGAAGUAUUUCGGUAUGUAAAGCUCUAUCAGCAGGGAAGAAAAUGACGGUACCUGACUACGAAGCCCCGGCUAACUACGUGCCAGCAGCAGCGGUAAUACGUAGGGGGCAAGCGUUAUCCGGAAUGACUGGGCGUAAAGGGUGCGUAGGGGGUUUGACAAGUUGGUAGCGUAACUCCGAGGCUUACCCUCGGCACUACUACCAAAACUGUUGGACUCGAGUGCAGGAGGGGCAAAUGGAAUUCCUAGUGUAGCGGUGGAAUGCGUAGAUAUUAGGAGGAACACCAGUGGCGAAGGCGAUUUGCUGGACUGUAACUGACACUGAGGCACGAAAGCGUGGGGAGCAAACAGGAUUAGAUACCCUAGUAGUC
rnacentral:rRNA from 1 species